rnacentral:rRNA from 1 species
CAGAGGGUGCAAGCGUUAUUCGGAGUUACUGGGCGUAAAGAGCGCGUAGGCGGUUCGAUAAGUCCGAUGUGAAAGCCCUGGACUCAAUCCAGGAAGUGCAUCGGAUACUGUCAAACUAGAGUACAGGAGGGGAGAGUGGAAUUCCUGGUGUAGAGGUGAAAUUCGUAGAUAUCAGGAGGAACAACAGUGGCGAAGGCGACUCUCUGGACUGUUACUGACGCUGAGGCGCGAAAGCGUGGGGAGCAAACAGGAUUAGAUACCCUGGUAGUCCACGCCGUAAACGAUGGAUGCUAGAUGUCGGAAGUUCUUACCCUUUCGGUGUCGUCGCUAACGCAUUAAGCAUCCCGCCUGGGAAGUACGGUCGCAAGAUUA